CUUGGAUACUGUGACAGGACCUAUCCUGCCCCAGAAUUUACAUGGAAGGUAAGCCUUGAUACUGUGACCUAUUCUGCCCCUGAAUUCCCCUGGAAGGUAAGCCUUGAUACUGUGACCUAUCCUGCCCCAGAAUUCCCCUGGAAGGUAAGCCUUGAUACUGUGACCUAUCCUGCCCCAGAAUUCCCCUGGAAGGUA